CAAUAGCGUAUAUUAAAGUUGUUGCGGUAAAAAAGCUCGUAGUUGGAUUUCUGUUGAGAGCGACCGGUCCAUACCAUGUAUGCGUAUCUGGCUUGCUCUCGGCAUCCUCUCGAUAGACGUUACUGCGCUUGAUUGCGUGGUGCGGAUCUCGGGACUUUUACUUUGAGGAAAUUAGAGUGUUCACGGCAGGCUUUCGCCAGAAUACAUUAGCAUGGAAUAAUACUAUAGGAUCUUGGUUCUAUUUUGUUGGUUUCUAGAAUUGAGAUAAUGAUUAAUAGGGACAAUUGGGGGCAUUCGUAUCAACACGUCAGAGGUGGAAUUCUUGGAUUGUGUUGCGACGAACUGCUGCGAAAGCAUUUGCCAAGGAUGUUUUCAUUGA
rnacentral:rRNA from 1 species